rnacentral:rRNA from 1 species
AGAGUUUGAUCCUGGCUUAGGAUGAACGCUGGCGGCGUGCUUAACACAUUCAAGUCGAACGAUGAAGCUCCUUCGGGGGCUGAUUAGUGGCGGACGGGUGAGUAACGCGUGAGCAACCUGCCUUGCAGAGGGGGAUAACACAGGGAAACUUGUGCUAAUACCGCAUGAUGCGUACGGACCGCAUGAUCUGUACGCCAAAGGAGCAAUCCGCUGUUAGAUGGGCUCGCGUCCGAUUAGGUAGUUGGUGAGGUAACGGCCCACCAAGCCGACGAUCGGUAGCCGGACUGAGAGGUCGAACGGCCACAUUGGAACUGAGAUACGGUCCAGACUCCUACGGGAGGCAGCAGUGGGGAAUAUUGGGCAAUGGGCGAAAGCCUGAACCCCCAGCGACGCCGCGUGAGGGAGGAAGGUCUUCGGAUUGUAAACCUUUGUCAUCAGGGACGAACAAAUGACGGUACCUGAGAAGGAAGCCACGGCUAACUACGUGCCAGCAGCCGC